rnacentral:rRNA from 1 species
GAUGAACGCUGGCGGCGUGCCUAAUACAUGCAAGUCGAGCGAACAGAUGAGGAGCUUGCUCCUCUGACGUUAGCGGCGGACGGGUGAGUAACACGUGGAUAACCUACCUAUAGACUGGGAUAACUUCGGGAAACCGGAGCUAAUACCGGAUAAUAUAUUGAACCGCAUGGUUCAAUAGUGAAAGACGGUUUUGCUGUCACUUAUAGAUGGAUCCGCGCCGCAUUAGCUAGUUGGUAAGGUAACGGCUUACCAAGGCGACGAUGCGUAGCCGACCUGAGAGGGUGAUCGGCCACACUGGAACUGAGACACGGUCCAGACUCCUACGGGAGGCAGCAGUAGGGAAUCUUCCGCAAUGGGCGAAAGCCUGACGGAGCAACGCCGCGUGAGUGAUGAAGGUCUUCGGAUCGUAAAACUCUGUUAUUAGGGAAGAACAAAUGUGUAAGUAACUAUGCACGUCUUGACGGUACCUAAUCAGAAAGCCACGGCUAACUACGUG